GGGUAAGAACCUCACCUAUCUUGAUAUGUAGGUGGGGUUGUGAUAUAUUGUGCCCAGUGGGCCACUUUUGGUAAGCAGAACUGGCGCUGUGGGAUGAACCAAACGCAAUGUUACGGUGCCAAAAUUUACAACUCAUGCAGAUACCAUGAAAGGCGUUGCUUGCUUAAAACAGCAGGACGGUGGACAUGGAAGUCGUAAUCCGCUAAGGAGUGUGUAACAACUCACCUGCCGAAGCAACUAGCCCUUAAAAUGGAUGGCGCUUAAGUUGUAUACCUAUACAUUGCCGCUAAUGUAGAUGGUUUAUGCAUAAUCUCGGUUAUGUUAUAGAUUUUGAAACAUUAGUGAGUAGGAGGGUACAAUGGUGUGCCUAGAAGUGUUUGG
rnacentral:rRNA from 1 species